AUGGAAAUAACUGUUUUCACUUUCUUGUGUCAUACAUGUAUUUUAACGUAUUUACAGUUAUAUUAUGUACUUAUAUUGAACUUGCACAAUAAAAUCACUCACCACACUCACGCUUUUAAUAGAAAGAUGACUUACCGCCCCCCUGCUGGUAUGGCGUGUGAGUCAAGUAGUUAGCAACAUCCAUUGUUCACUGUUGUAAGCAGGUUUCUUCAAAAAUAUUA